UAACAAAAAUAAGCCAAAAAUGGAGGAAUAAAAGAUUUAUGAGAUUGAUUUUUAAAAAGUUGAUUUCUAGGACAAAUUAUGUGUGAAUUGUCUAAAUUACCCUUAAUUCAUUUUACCUUCCAUUCCUUCUCCUCAACGCAGAAACAAAACGCAAAAAAAAAAAAAAAACACACACACACACAUUCGCUUUCUUCUCCUUCUACUUCGGUGCAUAUCAUCGCUUCUCGGAUGUCGUUCGUCGCUCCUCCGGUGUGAACUAAAAGAUCUGAACAAAGAGCCAAAGCUACACUUGUUACUUCUCUAAGGAAAAAACUAAACCCCCUAAUCUUCUUCCUCCAAACUUUCCUCUGAUUUUCGACUCAAAUAUUCAGCAAUUUGUUGCUGCUAAGAUAAUUUUGGUGGAAGAAAAGAGACGGAUCAAUGCCAAAGGGUUUGAAGAGUAAAUAUCAAUCUACUUCUCAUUAGGUUUUGAAGGAAAAAGAAAAGAAUUGUGUUAAUGACCUUGAAGGGAUAUUCACUAAUCUUCAAAAUGCAAGGAAGGAGAGUCGUACUACUGACAUUGCACGUGUCUCUGUUUUACUUUCGACUUCAACUCCGGCGGACGCUUCUCCACUUCCAUCCAUUUCGAUUUCAGGUUUCAGUAUGGCUUCAACAUCAACUAACGGUCCCAUGUACAAGAUUGACCCUGCUCAUCAUUUUCAGUCUAUAGUAAGUAGUUUAUCACAUUUAGUAAGCAGGUUGACUAUGUUGUCGGAUCAAAACAAGACUGUCAAGAUCCUUGGGUGAAUGUUGAUUACAUUUACUCUCCAUUCAAUAUCCAUGGCAAUCAUUGGAUUCUAUUAUGCUUGGACUUGGUACGUUGUCAAGUUAAGGUAUGGGAUUCGCUUCCGUCGCUGACGAGUGCCGAAGAUAUGAGAAGCAUAUUAGAGCCAAUUCAAGAGAUGGUGCCAAAUUUGCUCGAUGCUACUGGAUUCUUUGUUAGGAGAGGCGGAUCAUCAACACACAAGGAACCUUGGCCACUUGUCAUUGUCGACUCCAUUCCACUUCAACGCAACAAUAGUGAUUGUGGUGUAUUUACAAUUAAGUAUUUCGAAUAUGAAGCUUCUGGUUUAGAUGUAGCUACAUUAUGUCAAGAAAACAUGUCAUAUUUUAGAAAACAAUUGGCAUUUCAAUUAUGGACCAACAAUCCCAUGUAUUGACUUUUAGUUCCAACUUUUGAAGGAAUUGUAUAUGUUCCAAACUAUGUACAUAAAUAGUUUUAUAUAAUGGAAUGAAUACCAUUUUUGUU